rnacentral:rRNA from 1 species
GAUGAACGCUGGCGGCGUGCCUAAUACAUGCAAGUCGAGCGAACGGACGAGAAGCUUGCUUCUCUGAUGUUAGCGGCGGACGGGUGAGUAACACGUGGAUAACCUACCUAUAAGACUGGGAUAACUUCGGGAAACCGGAGCUAAUACCGGAUAAUAUUUUGAACCGCAUGGUUCAAAAGUGAAAGACGGUCUUGCUGUCACUUAUAGAUGGAUCCGCGCUGCAUUAGCUAGUUGGUAAGGUAACGGCUUACCAAGGCAACGUUGCAUAGCCGACCUGAGAGGGUGAUCGGCCACACUGGAACGGAGACACGGUCCAGACUACUACGGGAGGCAGCAGUAGGGAAUCUUCCGCAAUGGGCGAAAGCCUGACGGAGCAACGCCGCGUGAGUGAUGAAGGUCUUCGGAUCGUAAAACUCUGUUAUUAGGGAAGAACAUAUGUGUAAGUAACUGUGCACAUCUUGACGGUACCUAAUCAGAAAGCCACGGCUAACUACG